UGAGGGAAAGGCGAAAAGAACCCCGGCGAGGGGAGUGAAAAAGAACCUGAAACCGUGUACGUACAAGCAGUGGGAGCCCCACCACCAAAGCAUUCUCUGGUGUUGAAGGCCCUGCAAAGCAGCAUCGCGGUGGCGGAGCGUCGUUUGCGACGCCCAACACACAAAACAAGCGGUGAGUGCUUUGGGGUGGGGUGACUGCGUACCUUUUGUAUAAUGGGUCAGCGACUUAUAUUCUGUAGCAAGGUUAACCGUAUAGGGGAGCCGAAGGGAAACCGAGUCUUAACUGGGCGUUAAGUUGCAGGGUAUAGACCCGAAACCCGGUGAUCUAGCCAUGGGCAGGUUGAAGGUUGGGUAACACUAACUGGAGGACCGAACCGACUAAUGUUGAAAAAUUAGCGGAUGACUUGUGGCUGGGGGUGAAAGGCCAAUCAAACCGGGAGAUAGCUGGUUCUCCCCGAAAGCUAUUUAGGUAGCGCCUCGUGAACUCAUCUUCGGGGGUAGAGCACUGUUUCGGCUAGGGGGUCAUCCCGACUUACCAACCCGAUGCAAACUGCGAAUACCGAAGAAUGUUAUCACGGGAGACACACGGCGGGUGCUAACGUCCGUCGUGAAGAGGGAAACAACCCAGACCGCCAGCUAAGGUCCCAAAGUCACAGUUAAGUGGGAAACGAUGUGGGAAGGCUCAGACAGCCAGGAUGUUGGCUUAGAAGCAGCCAUCAUUUAAAGAAAGCGUAAUAGCUCACUGGUCGAGUCGGCCUGCGCGGAAGAUGUAACGGGGCUAAACUGUGCACCGAAGCUGCGGCAGCGACGCUUAUGCGUUGUUGGGUAGGGGAGCGUUCUGUAAGCCUGCGAAGGUGUCCUGUGAGGGAUGCUGGAGGUAUCAGAAGUGCGAAUGCUGACAUAAGUAACGAUAAUGCGGGUGAAAAGCCCGCUCGCCGGAAGACCAAGGGUUCCUGUCCAACGUUAAUCGGGGCAGGGUGAGUCGACCCCUAAGGCGAGGCCGAAAGGCGUAGUCGAUGGGAAACGGGUUAAUAUUCCCGUACUUGGUGUUACUGCGAAGGGGGGACGGAGAAGGCUAUGUUGGCCGGGCGACGGUUGUCCCGGUUUAAGCGUGUAGGCUGGUUUUCCAGGCAAAUCCG
rnacentral:rRNA from 1 species